GACGAACGCUGGCGGCGUGCUUAACACAUGCAAGUCGAACGGAAAGGCCCUGCUUUUGUGGGUUGCUCGAGUGGCGAACGGGUGAGUAACACGUGAGUAACCUGCCCUUGACUUUGGGAUAACUUCAGGAAACUGGGGCUAAUAUCGGAUAGGAGCUCCUGCUGCAUGGUGGGGGUUGGAAAGUUUCGGCGGUUGGGGAUGGACUCGCGGCUUAUCAGCUUGUUGGUGGGGUAGUGGCUUACCAAGGCUUUGACGGGUAGCCGGCCUGAGAGGGUGACCGGCGACAUUGGGACUGAGAGACGGACCAGAAGGCUACGGGAGGCAGCAGUGGGGAAUAUUGCACAAUGGGCGGAAGCCUGAGGCAGCAACGCCGCGUGCGGGAUGACGGCCUUCGGGUUGUAAACCGCUUUCGCCUGUGACGAAGCGGGAGUGACGGUAAUGGGUAAAGAAGCACCGGCUAACUACGUG
rnacentral:rRNA from 1 species